rnacentral:rRNA from 1 species
UACGUAGGGGGCUAGCGUUGUCCGGAUUUACUGGGCGUAAAGAGCGCGCAGGCGGUCGUUCAAGUCGAGUGUGAAAGCCCCCGGCUCAACUGGGGGGGUCAUUCGAUACUGGAUCGACUGGAAGGCAGGAGAGGGAAGCGGAAUUCCCGGUGUAGUGGUGAAAUGCGUAGAUAUCGGGAGGAACACCAGUGGCGAAGGCGGCUUCCUGGCCUGUU